rnacentral:lncRNA from 1 species
UUUGGAACUAGGUUAGGAACACAAGCAGGCAUUACUGCUCCAUCCCUUGUGUUGGAGACACAUUCAAAUGGCAUUUGGCCAGAAGGUUUGGGUAGUUGGCAAACUGCGGUUCAGUGCCUGGAACGGUGUUGGCACCGGUGGAGUUUGUGCAAGGUUGGUUCUUAAAUUGAUCUGCUAGUUCAUCAGCAAGGCACUCGGCAUUGUCAUUUUUCUUCAGAAUUGUCAAGUUCAAUGAAGCCCGGUAAUCGUUUAUGCCUUUAAGAAGAUUAUCCUCCUCAUCUGUAAAUGGUCAAGAAUAAAGUCGGUGAUUACAUAUAAUAUUUUACUGCCAUUUCGUAUUAGAAAGAAUAAACAAAAAAGUUCUAUUUUGGGUGUGAACCAAAAUGCAAAGAAGAUCGAUUUUCUUCGCCUCUUGAAACAAAAAGAAAAUCAUAGUUACAUGGCAGAAAAUUUCCAGCAAAAUAAGUUUAUAUCCUCCCAUGUAGCUAAAUUGCUGAACAGCUAAACAUCAGAAAGAUCCAGUACUGCAACUCAUGAAGUUACUCAAAAUUCAAACCAAGUAAUCCAUACAAAAGCCAAAUCUCAUCAGUCAGCUUAGGAUAUCAGAGAGAAAACAACAUUUUUAUUCAAAGGGGAAACCAUACAGGCUAAUAAAACCCAGAUUUCUAGCUAUAUGACUGCACUCUAGACCCUCCAAACAAAGUCAAUCUGAACCCGCAUCUAAUUCAAAUUUGAUGGCUCAUAUUAGCCAUAGUUAUGAUGGUCAGAGCUCAAGGUUAGGUUUAGGACUGUAAUACAGCUGAGUCAAAAAUCGGAUCCAGCUCAGUUAAGUACCAUUUUUUGAGAUAGAGCUUUGCUCUAGAUGAAAUCGAACUAUUUUUCAUACAGGAAGGACAACUAGAAAUCUGCAUUCUGCUGGAACAGUGAGUCCGAAAAUUCUAAGACAUAUUACAUGAAAAAUUAGGGAAGUGUUUACUUGGUGCACCAGUAGCUGGCGAAUAGCUUCCUUCAGGUGUGCCUGUUGUGAGAACAACUACUAUCCAGUCUCCAUCGGAACCAAUCCCAACUCCUGUAUACUUGGUGUCAUUGAGGUUAUCAUUAUACUGAGACUGUGUAAAGUUAGUGAGUACAAGAUUUGGAACUAGGUUAGGAACACAAGCAGGCAUUACUGCUCCAUCCCUUGUGUUGGAGACAUUCAAAUGGCAUUUGGCCAGAAGGUUUGGGUAGUUGGCAAACUGCGGUUCAGUGCCUGGAACGGUGUUGGCACCGGUGGAGUUUGUGCAAGGUUGGUUCUUAAAUUGAUCUGCUAGUUCAUCAGCAAGGCACUCGGCAUUGUCAUUUUUCUUCAGAAUUGUCAAGUUCAAUGAAGCCCGGUAAUCGUUUAUGCCUUUAAGAAGAUUAUCCUCCUCAUCUGUAAAUGGUCAAGAAUAAAGUCGGUGAUUACAUAUAAUAUUUUACUGCCAUUUCGUAUUAGAAAGAAUAAACAAAAAAGUUCUAUUUUGGGUGUGAACCAAAAUGCAAAGAAGAUCGAUUUU